rnacentral:rRNA from 1 species
GACGAACGCUGGCGGCGUGCCUAAUACAUGCAAGUCGAACGCAGUGGGGACGGGUGAGUAAAACGUGGGUAACCUCCCAUCAGAGGGGAUAACACUUGGCAAAAGGUGCUAAACCGCUACUGAUGGAUGGACCCGCGGUGCAUUAGCUAGUUGGUGAGGUAACGGCUCACCAAGGCCACGAUGCAUAGCCGGCCGUAGAGGUUGAUCGGACACACUGGGACUGAGACACGGCCCAGACGCCUACGGGAGGCAGCAGUGGGGAAUCUUCGGCAAUGGGCGAAAGUCUGACCGAGCAAUGCCGCGUGAGUGAAGAAGGUUUUCGGGUCGUAAAGCACUGUUGGUAGAGAAGCGUUAUCUAACCAAAAAGCAACGGCUAACUACGUGCCAGCCGCCGCGGUAAUAC